UUCCGUAUUGCCGAAGUUUCAUUAUAAAGGUUUAACUAUCGAUCAGCGAAGUGACGAGAGUAUGAUAAAUGUUAUUAUAUAUGAAAACCACAAAUUAUUAUCAACUGGUUAUCUUAUAAGUUCAAUUAAACUAUAUUUCAAUAGUCUAUUAAUUUCCGAUGUUGAAGCAUUCUCCUCGCUGAUUGGUCAAAAGUCUUUGCGGGAAAACGAAGCAUUUUCAUUGGUCACGUUGACCAGUUUGAAAAAUUAAGCAAGACCGUAGGUGAAAGGCCAAAAGGUCGAAGGGAAUAAGGAAUUAUUUACCCAUAUUUACAAACAAGAUGCACGCGCUUGUGGAAUGGAUAGACGAAGAAAAAGUAAGCACCAUCAGUCUGACUCGAAUUAAAGAACCGAGGAAAGAUUUUACCGGCUACAACGUGGGUGAAACGGUGAAAGCUAGCUGCCAUGGCUUUCCAGGAAUCCAUAGUGCACGGAUUUUGAUGAUCAAAGAAUCAACAACAGAGGGAAAGAAAGCAUUGGAGAAAAUGGCAGAGGAAUACAUUGCAGAGAAAAAUGAAAAACAGAAGG